rnacentral:rRNA from 1 species
AGAAUCAACGCUGGCGGCGUGCCUAACACAUGCAAGUCGAACGAGGAAGUGGAGCAAUCCAUGAGUAAAGUGGCGACCGGGUGAGUAACACGUGACUAACCUACCCUGAAGUGGGGAAUAACUCCGGGAAACCGGGGCUAAUACCGCAUAACAUCGUCGUUUCUAAAGAAGUGACGAUCAAAGCAGCAAUGCGCUAUGGGAGGGGGUCGCGGCUGAUUAGCUAGUUGGCGGGGUAAUGGCCCACCAAGGCGAAGAUCGGUA